rnacentral:lncRNA from 1 species
AAUAACAUAUCGAACUUCUCAAGUGAACAACUACAACAUAAAGAACAUGACAAUACCAAGUACUAACAUAUCCACAGUGCAUUACAAUCAUCAUAACAUUUUAUAAUGAUAUCAUGAAAAUAAAGUGGAGUAAUGACAUAGUAUUAUCCAUAACAACAUUCUAACUAGCAUGGCAAAAGAUAGCAUGAAAACACAAGCAUGCAUGGUAAGCAUAACGGAAUAACUGCAGAUGAAAACGAUAAGCAACAACUGCAACUACACACACACAAGGUGCAAGGAAAGUCAACAUGCAAGUUCGGGGCUCAUGAUAAGAGGUUGGCUUGCGUGGGGGUCGACAAAUACUCCGGGAAGAAGUGAGAAACGACCGCGGAAAAAUUUGCCGGAAACAGUUCUCUCUCAGAGGGGUCUGUUUAUGGACAAGGGAAAAAUGGUCAUUUUCAGAAUGUGCAAACAUGGUGAAAAUGAUCUCAUCAAAACGGGCUCGACGAAAUGAAAACGUGGGCUUUGGAAUCACUUGAUUCGGAGUUACGGUUGUCCAGAUAUAAAGGGUUGAAGUUCAGGGACCUAUCGAUGAAAAUUUCUCAGCCAACAGGCCCCUGGAGGAAAAACUGAACACUUAUUUCUGAGAAUACGCCUUCGGUCAGGGAAAACGGCUCGCGGUGGGGCGCCUCCACUUAGAUGACAUGGCGUUGGACCAGACAAAGUGGCAGAGGCGGGGCCGGGCUCCUGGGUCGGUGCUAGGUGGGGCCGCAGGGCCCACCUGGCCAUGUCAACGCCUCUCCUGGCCACUCCCUUCUUCUCUCCGACGCGCACCCACAAAGCAGAGGAAGGCCGCGCUCCGGCGAUGAGCACCGGCAACAUGAGCCACCACCGGUGAGGCUCCGGCCACCGGCGUGCUCCUCGGGUAGUGGCUCAUCCAUUCCCCCACUCCACAGACUCCAACCACGAGGGGAGCGAAGGCUACCUCGAGCAUGGCGGACGACGGAGAAGGGCUUCGGUCGACGGCGAGGCAACGGUUCCGGCGGGAGAGGCGAGGGGCUGAGGCUACGGGGAGGCUCGCCGGACCUUGGGGAAUUUACUGGUGUGGAGGAACGGCAAGGGGAGCGAGGCAGCACCGGAAUCGAGCAGCGUCCGAGGCGGCGGCCAUGGCGAUGGGAAGAGGAUGUGGAGCUCCUGGAGCUCAGGUGACUCGCUAGGGAGGUCGCUGGGAGGAAGGGGGAGCUGCUGGAGUGCUCGGAGUCUCGGGGGAAGGCCUUUAAAUAGGCGGGCGAGGAGAUGCCGAGCCAGUCGCCGCCGAAUGAGUCCAGCCAGGGCUCUGGCGUGCACAGGGCUCACGAGGAGGGACGGGAAGGCGACGAGGGGGUAAGCGGACGAGCGCCAGAAGCUCACGCAAUUGAGCAACGCUUGCAGACGAGGGGAGGAAGAGGACAAAGGCGAGGAAGAAGACGAUGGCCACGGGAGCACACUGUUCGAUCUUUGGAACGACUCGCCAGAGAAGAAAACGGAGGGGGCCAGAGGCCCAGGGGAAGAGGACGGCGAGGGGGAGCUGUAGGACAUUAAUGGAGAGGUCAGAGACGGUCGGAGUAGUGUUGCCGACGAGAACAGUGGCUAGACCACCGUUUUGGCUGGCUGCCCUCGUGGUCACCACUGGCAUAGCGCGCUCUAGAGAUUUUACUUGUGCCAGCUCAUGUCUAUCGCGUAGUCCUUCCAGAGUGGAGUAUUACCACUGUAAAGAUUUGGGCAGAGACAAAAGGAGCUGAGUAAACCAAGAUCCACAAGUUUACUGCUGCAAACUUGGUAACAUCCUAGAGGUAAAACCAGAGAGGGUGAAAGGUAAACUUGAUGUCUGGGAGGCUUAGGGUAGCAAGGACUAUGGUCCUGGUAAUUAUGAGGGCAUAAGCACAAUGAUUUAGCAUAGCUGCAGUGCAAAUGCCAAAUCUGGUCCAGAAAACAAAAGAGGAAGAAGCACUCACUAGGAGUGUUGGAUUGAGCUAUAACUUGGCAAAUCCUCAUGAUUUGGUCAUAAGUAGAUACUGUAAAAAGAUCACGCCAUGUGGACUUGCCAAAUUGGUACUUGCUUCACAAGCAUCACUUUUGACCAGAAACUUGGGAAAAUUCUAGGAAAAUAUUGGCUAAAUGAAUUUAGCCAAACUCUUGGGUAGGCGGGUUAUAUGGAUCGGAGAAGGCUUGGAAUUAUUUUCAGCCAUAAUGGAGCAAGAUAAAAUAUACUUCCUUCACAAAUUGAAAAUUUAGACAAAAAACAAUAAUUGCUCCUGUGCUAACAUAGCUCCAUUAAAUUAGCUGAAUUUGGGUGGAGGCUAAUUAUUUGGGACACUUGAGAAGAUGGCAAAGUUUCACCCCAUUUGGAAACUCUAUGAAGGUACUUCCUUCACAAAGUGACAAUCUGGUCAGAAACUUUGAAAAAUUUCACAUGGAGCUAGGAUGAUUGGAUUGAGCUCAUCUUUGGUAUCCAUGGGUGAUUUACUAAUGUUAAUCACCCUGCCAAAUUUCAGCUCAAAUGGAAUUAGUAAUAAAUCACUUCCUUUGCAAAAUUUCAGAGAAGGCAGAAUCUUGCAUUGGAUCAAGUGCCCAAUUUUUGAUCCAUGGAACAUGAGAUAAAGAUGGAACUAGUGAUUAUAUAGCAAGGACAAGCUCCACAAUUUAUGUGUGAAUUUUCCAUGAUAUAAAAAUAGUAGUUCCAUUAGAAAAUGGUAGAAAUGCAAUAUUGGUAUUAAAUAGGAAAUGGGAAUUUUCCUUAUUUAAUUAUGGACAAUAUAAUUGCCGGAGCUUGUAUUAGGCAUAAUUGUCAACUCCACCAAUUCACAUGAACUUAGGAGAUGGCUUGAUAUGCCUUUAGAUUUUAUUCCUCAGAAAGGCAAGAAAAGGAAUAAAUCAUAAUUCAAAAAUAUUGCAUGGGACUUGGCAAUAUUUUUGCAUAUCCAAGGUUGAAAAGGAUAGGAGGGUCUCUAGGAACAGAUGGGGUGAUCAACAGAUCAAGGAAAAUGAUGGAUCCUUUGUAAUCACAAAGGCCACAUUCAAAUUCCAAAAAUUUGGAAUUAGGGUUUGAGAGGGUUUAAGAUGAUGCAACUGAGGUCUUGCCCACUGAAAAAGACAUGAUCAAGUUUUGAAAGGUUGGGAAUGACAAGAAAUCUCAUAGUCAUCAGCAAAAUUCAGGAGAAAGAUUUUUAAAAUGAGUGCCAGGAAGGAAUAACAGCACAAAAUAGAUAAUCCAAUUUUGGGGCUGUUAGAAACCUUCCCCCCUUCGUCGGGGAAACUGAUCCACGAACACCUAUGGGGCCGGCGGACCGAGCCCCUUUUGGUUCGGCGGGGGGCGGAGAUCGCACGAAGAGCGGAUCGAGGCGAAGCACACGAGCAGUUUACCCAGCUUCGGAGCUCUCCGGAGAGAUAAUACUCCUACUGCUGCUUGUCUGAUUGUAUUGAGUUCUUGCUCGGGAGCGCUGAGUGCUACAGUACACACGAGCUGCUAACGAGACCGAGCGUGAGUGUUUUCUGCUUUCAAACCCUUUUCUACGUUGCACAUGGGCCUCCUUUUAUAUGCUCAAGGGGUCACCGACAGGUGGCAACGUAGACAAGGGUAAAAAUGGAAAAGGAAUUGUGGUUGGUACAGCUACCUGUACAGUGUAUCAUACCUAACCCUGACGGCAGGGGACAAAGGCAUUAAAUGCCCGUCUGCGUCGCCCAAAUAGUGCAAAAAGGACCAUCAGGGAUGCCACCGCUCGCCACGAUGGCAGUCUUGUCAGUGUCGCUUGCCACCGCGCACCGCUGGCUGCACAGCCUCUCGCCACGCGCGCCUGGAAAGGCCCCAGGGCGACACGUUGGUAGAUGUGCUGGAGCGCGGGUACAGAGUGGUAGCUUGCCGCGGCAAGCGCCUUGCCGCGGUCGUUGUCUUGUCGCGUCCGGAAGCUUGUCGCUCACCGGGCCUUGCCGGGACGCGUGGUGCGUCGCAGCAAGUUUCUUGAGAUGCUUUGGUUGGCCUUCCCGGCAAGCUCCUCUUGCCGGGGCUUGUCUCCUUGGCUUGAAUACUUUGUUCUUGAAUGGCUCCAAAGGAACCACGGAGGACCUUGGCGGUCACCAGGCAAGCCUUGCCGCGGGGUGUUGCAACUGCCCGUGCACAAGUUCGGGAUACUAGGGUACCCCUACUCUAGUACACCGACAGGAGCCCCCGGGCCUGGGCCACACACGGUGCCGAGCGCUGUUGGGCCAGGCCCGAAACAGGGCACGGGCACACGCGGCCUGGGUCACGCCGAAUCUUACUCUGUAUCCACCGCGCCCUCCCUGAACGGCACGCGUUGAAUGCGGCGUCAUGGGAGAGAUCGUGGGUGGUUUCUUUAUUAGGAAAGACGGAACGCCCGCCCCCUCCCUCCUUAUAAGCAGGGGAAACAGGGGCGGUUCGCCCAUCUCGCCGGUUGCUACUCCAAUCUCAGAAAUCUCCGCCGCUCGCCCUUUCUUCCCAAAACUGAAAGAGAGCAGCGCUCCGCCCCCCAUCGCCACCGGCAUCACCAACGCCGUCGAUCUCCCCCACCACCUCUGCCAUGGCUCCAAAAGCCGACAAGGGGAAGGUCGUGAAUUCGGCCGAGGCGCAGCGGCUCGCGGCGCUGCGGAAGGAGUGGGCAAUCUUCCCCCCCAGCUCGGCGCGAAGGAGCUAAGGGAGUACUACUACCUCUUCUGGUCGACGGAGACGCGAGCGCAUCCGCGUACGAAGGUACUCCCGGCUGCCGCUUCGGAACUAGCUCCGAAUGGCUAUCCUUUCUUCGCGCUGUUCUUCUACUGCGGUCUCUGCCCGCCUUUCUCUGAAUUUUUCUGCGAUAUCAUGAACACCUACGGGUUCCGCCUCCUUGACUUCACCCCCAAUGCCAUUCUGACCAUGGCAGUUUUCGCACAUCUCUGUGAAAACUUUGUCGGAGUCCAUCCAAAUGUAGCUCUUUUCCGCCACUUCUUUAUGCCCCGGUUUGAGAGAGGAGAGCCUUUAUCCGGCGGAAUUGCCUGGAUCUCGAGAGCUGGCAAGAAGGAAGCAUAUCUGGAGGGAGAGCUCCGCAGCAAGUGGGAGGAAUGGAGAGCAGAAUGGGGCUGGAUUGUCGAGGAGAACCCGCAGCCAUUUACCGCUCAGCGCCAAGCCCCAAUAGCGCGCGGCAACGAUUGGAGCAACGUGGCCCUGGAAGAUGAUAGGCUAAAGAUUGCCGUCACCCGGAUCUUACGCCUCAGGCUUGCUGGGCUCACUGUAGGCGCCGUUGGCGCAGAUUUUCUUCGCCGCCGCAUCGCCCCCCUGCAGGAGAGGAGGAGACCCGCCUGGGAGUUCCAAAACUCGGCGGAUAUCAUGAGGCUGCGCCCGGGCCUCAACUUCAACUUCACUGUCCUGGAACUGGACACGAUGAUCCUGGAGCUGUUCAAGCGCGAUCCUCAGCAUCCCGAUGCGUUCAUGUUGUCGAGGGGUGUCGUUCCGUUGUGCAACAACUCCUCGCUUGACCGCAUCCGCGCAAUGAUGCCGUUGUGCGAUUCGCAUGGAAUUGUCCCGACUUGGCAAGAACCUGCAGAUGAUGUCGUGCGGGAUUUCUUUGACGGCUUGGUAGAAGUGCCGGUCCGCGCUGAUGAACAGAAGAGCCUUACUCGCGACACCACCGAUGCGAAGAUGCAGCGCAUCGCCACUAGGCUGGAAGAAGCGGCAGCAGCAACUGCCGCGGGCGAGUUCGGGUUCAUCGUGGAGGAGGCAGAGGCAGCAGAGGCGGCAAGCCUUGUCGAGCGAGAGGAGUUCGCCGGUGAGGAAGAGCUUGCCGGGCCUAAAGCUGAGUCGAGCGAGCCCGGCGAGGGAGAGCUUGUCGGGCCCGAACCUUCAGACAGCUUGUCGCAAGCGGAGCCCCCAGCUGCACCAAGAAGGCGUCUUCGCAAGGCCGGGGACGUAGCGGGGCGGCAAACGAGUCAACAGCCGCCGUGCCGCGCGAUACGCUCUACCGCGGCAAGCACUGUUGCCGCGGGAGCGCCUCACGCUGCUGCGGCAACUGGGGCGGGGUCUUCUCGGUCCACCGCUACUGCCCCUGCCAAGCGGGCAAGGGAACCUACUCCUCCGCCUCGUCGCACCGGAGGCGAGCCGGACUUCGAUCUCUCCGCGCUCAGCUCCGACAAGGAAGAAGAAGUGUAAGAUUCUUCGCUGUACUUGUAGUUCUUCAAUUCUUGCUGUUUUUGUCUUGUAUCUGAUUUGUUUUACUCCGAACCCAUUCCUUUUCAGGACUCUGGCCCAGAGAGCGGCGAAGAGAGCCAAGGUCCCGGUGAUUUUCAUCGAGGACGAACCCACCGCGACAGCAGAGGGCGUGUCCGAGACCACCUUGCCGGACCCGGCAACUAUUCCCCAGCGCAGCCCCCAGCGUAAGUAUAUGGUUUGCUUCUUGCUGACAGGCGCUCAUGGGUGCUCUUUCUUUGCUGAUAUCUAACUGCUGGUUUGUGCAGGAGCAGAGCAGCCUCACCAGGAGUGCCCGGAAGCCGCUCCCGAAAUGCCAUCUGCUUCGACUACACCGCCAAGGGAGGAUUCCCCGGCAAGGGAGCGUUCUCCGGCAAGGGAGAAAUCUCCGGCAAGGGACAGUUCUCCGGCAAGGGACAACACCUGUGAUCCUCCGGUGGUUGAGACCACGACCGCAGAUCCUAGCACAGGUAAUCCUUUUGCUUGAAAACUUCCCUUGGGUUCUUCUUCUUAUGUCUUUUUGGAUAUUUGCUUGACUUUUCUCCUCUUUCCGUUCGUCAGAUCCAUCUGCCACGGAGCCUAUGGAAACUGAGGUCGCCGGCGAGGAGAACGCGUGCAGCAAUACCGACGACGCCGUUGCCACCGAAGGAGAAGCCGACGCUGAUGAUCCUGCCAGCGAAGAGGCUGCCAAAGCUGCCGCUGCAAAAGCUGGCGAGGGAUCCGGCGAUCGCACUGACGGCCCCGAGGCCGCAGGAGCGUCAGCCGCUACGCCGACCGCUGAUCCCUCCGUCGCUGCUGCAGCGCCAGGCUCCAAAGAGCCCCAGCCCGGUGCCUAUUUGAAGGUCGGCGACGGUAUCUUCAGCAAGCUCCCCUGGGCGUCAAGCUCCAGGGCGCCGGUCGAAGGAGAAAUCUUGGAUGGAGAGGUGCUCGCCUCCGCUGGGCUGACGCUGGUCGACGCGCCAAGCAGCAGCGGCGACGAGCCUGAGGAGGAGCGGCUGCUACGGAAGCUGUUGUCGCUUUACCGCGCCCGACAGGCCAAGCUGGAAUCCCGAGAAGCGCUUGUCGCGAAGGCGGGAGUGGAUAUCGAGAAGCGCGCGGAGGAGCUCCGAGGUCUUAGGCAGGAAGCUCUCCGGUCCCUGGCAGAGGAGCGGGAGCAAUUCGCCGAGGAGCGGAAAGCCUUCCUCCUCGAGAAGGCUGAGGUUGAAGAGCAACAGCGGCUCGUUGCCGAGAAGCUAUCUGCGCAAGAAGGCGAGUUGGUGCAGCGCAAGGUCAACCUUGACAGCCACGAGGAGGAGCUUGCCGCGUGCGAGCAAGCAAUUGGCGGGGCUCUCAAGGAGGCAGAGGAUGCUGCCGCAGCUGCCGAGGCCGCCAAGAAGGAGCUGGAGACGAAGGUGGCGCAGCUGGAAGCCGAUCUCAAGGCGAGCGGCGAGGAGCUUGCCGCGCUCAAGCGUGAGCGCGAGAAGGACGCCGCCGCUCAUGGAGAGCUGCAGGGUCGUCUCACUGAGAGGAGCAAAGAACUUAGUGCCGCCAAGGACUCCAACGCAGAUCUCGAGUUGAAGCUGGCCACGUUGACUCAGACGCUGGACGGCGCUAGGGAGCAGGAGGUGGCCUUGAAGGAGAAGAUCAAGGCCGACGAGGCGCUGCUGGCGAGUGCUGCUGCCGCCCAGAAGUCUUUUAGGGAGACUGUGGAGCACUGGACCGAGGGUCUCGUGAAUGUCGCCGCAGCCAUCGACGGGGAGCUGGCGCAGCUGGGGAUGGAGGAUCUCGGGUAUCCCUCCGAUGAGCACCUCCAACCCAGCGCCAAGCUCAGCUUGUUCUUCAAAGGCGUGGCGACGGCCCUCCAGCGACUCCGGGAGAAGAUCCCAAAGCAGCUGGCCAGCGAGUCGCGCAAGAUCUGCGUGGGAGCUCUUCAAAAAGUGCUGGUGAAGGUGGCCUACCGCAACCCAGGCCUCAACCUCACCAACGUCCUCAGGUCCCUGCCGCCGGACGCUGAUCUAGAAGCGCUCAAGGCCCUUGUCGCACCCAUUGUGGACAAGGUGAGCGGAAUCAAGAGGGUUGAGGGCGAUCGCGUAGAUUAGGCCGCCUGUUUUGUCUUUUUCUUUGUCGCUGCGGGUCAUGUCAUGAGAACAAUCUGUUAGAGCUGCGACAAGCUACCUUGUAAUAUAACUCUAUUUUGGGUAGAGAUUGCUGUGUUAUUUCCUUUACUUGAUUCCUUCCUUUGUAUGUUUUUACCCUACGCUUUUAGGGAACUUGUCGGCGCAGGCACCUGGGCCGCGAGCGCUGAGUGCGGGACGUCAGCAGCCUGCUGGCGUUGCUGCUUCUGACAAGAAACCUUGUCGCAACUAGUCGCAGCUCACUUACAUUGUUGAGCGGACUCGAAACAAAGUAAGGGCACAACUAGCUACGAGUUGGUUCCUCCGCACACAGGUUUUCCAUACAAAGCACGGUCGUUCGAGGAAGAUAACUUAAAAAUUUAAAAACUGAUUGCUCAAACUUUGGCAACUUAGCUUUUCUGUCGCUUGCUUUCCGGUAAGGCGAAACUUCCUUGAACGAUGCCUGAUCCACACCAUUAUCUUCUCCUUUCCCCCCGGCAAACUUGUGGGCGAGGGAACCUUCUUUUCCUUUUUGAGAAAAAGAAAGAAGAGAAAAUAAAGAUAUGGAACCUUACGGCUCGUUAUUUCUUAUCGGGGGUAGGUGCUGCACAAAGUGUCAGAUAACGCAUGCAAAGUAAAAAAGCAUGAAAUUGACAAGAUGUGCAGAGCACAUGAGCUUUACUUAUGCACGGGGUCUGCGCCCGACUUCGUACAAAGGAUUGCAUGCAACAUCGGCAAGACUUGUACAAAAGGUGGUUGCCGGAACAGUUUCCGGCAACCGCGCCUUACGAGUAAAACUUACGAAGAUGCUCAAUGUUCCAGGAGUUGCUCACCGGAGUGCCAUCUUCGGUCUCAAGGCGGACAGCGCCAGGCCUAGUGACUCGUUUCACCCGGUAAGGGCCUUCCCACUUCGGCAUCAACUUGUUGGAAUUCUUGGCGGACUGAACGCGCCGAAGAACAAGGUCGCCUUCCUCGAGACUUCUAGCACUAACUUUGCGGCUAUGGUAGCGGCGCAAAGCUUGCUGGUAUCGAGCAGCUCGUACAGCGGCCUGAAGACGGUCUUCCUCAAGGAGCAGCGCGUCAUCUUGUCGCAAUUGCUCUUGCUCAAGCUCAUCAUAAGCGAGCACUCGAGGUGAUCCGUAUACGAGUUCCGUGGGGAGAACUGCCUCUGCUCCAUAGACUAGAGCGAAAGGUGUCUGGCCAGUGGCUCGAUUUGGCGUCGUCCUGAUCGACCAAAGAACCACCGACAGCUCCUCAAUCCAGUUCUUUCCGCACUUGUGCAGCCUGUCGAAAGUUCUGAUCUUGAGCCCGCGCAGCACUUCAGCAUUCGCCCUCUCUGCUUGACCGUUGCUUCUCGGAUGAGCAACAGAAGCGAAGCAGAUCUUGGCGCCAAGAUCUUGGACGUACUGCAUGAAGGUGCGGCUCGUGAAUUGCGUGCCGUUGUCGGUGAUGAGCCUGUUAGGGAUCCCGAAACGACAAACAAUCGACCUGAAGAACUUGACUGCUGACUGUGCUGUCACCUUCCUCACUGGUUCCACUUCCGGCCACUUUGUGAACUUGUCGAUUGCAACGUACAAGUACUCAAAGCCCCCGACAGCUCGGGGAAAGGUGCCGAGGAUGUCAAGCCCCCAGACCGAAAAUGGCCAGGAUAAAGGGAUCGUCUAGAGAGUUUGAGUUGGCUGGUGUAUCUGCUUGGAAUGGAACUGGCACGCUUCACACUUGGUUACUUGUGUAGUUGCAUCCUGGAGGGCUGUCGGCCAAAAGAAACCUUGCCGGAAUGCUUUGCCGGCAAGUGCUCUUGUGCCAAUGUGGUGACCACAUAUGCCUCCAUGUAUCUCUGCCAACAGCUUUUGUCCGUCUUCCCGAUGAAUACACUUCAAUUUCACACCGUUGAUUCUUCUUCUGUACAGUAUGUUGUCUACAAACUUGUACAUACUUGACUGCCGGGCUACUCUUUCUGCUUCUUCUUGAUCUUCGGGAAGUUCUCCUGUCUGAAGGAAACGGACAAUCUGCUGUGCCCAUGCUGGAGCUUGUGGCUCGACAACAAGGACUAAAGGCACAUAUGCUGCUGCAGGAACAUCCGCUUCUACGGCGAGAACCUGCGGUUCAGCCGGAGCUUGACGUUCCCCGGCAAGCUUGCCGGAGCAAAACUUGUUGGGAGCGUCUGCUUCAAUGGAACAAGCCCUAGGGCUUGCCAGAGCAGACUGCUCCUCAGCACCCUUGGUGUUGAUCUUGAUGACCUUCUUGGCGGCUGCUUCGGGGAGCUCUGCCAGAAAAUAAUCACCAGAAAUCAACUUCCUCUUCUUGCUCUGUCCAGUUGAUGGUGUUACAGAUGGUUGAGUUAGCUUGAGCACAAAGAUCCCUGGUUCCAGAGGUAACUUAAGUGCGGCGCACUUUGACAGGCCAUCGACAAUGUCAUUCUGAGCCCUUGGAACAUGUUCCAUCUGUAGGCCGUCAAAGUGCUCUUCUAGCUUUCUCACUUUAUCAAUGUAAGCUUCCAUCAACGGACUCUGAUAAUUCUUGUUCACUUGGCGGACGACAAGCUGUCAGUCACCCCUGACAAUGAGCUUCUUGAUCCCAAGGUCUGCUGUGAUCCUGAGACCGGCAAGCAAACCUUCAUACUCUGCGGUAUUGUUUGUUGCUUGCUCCUUGGGAAAGUGCAUUUGGACUACGUACUUGAGGUGCUCUCCGGUGGGUGCAACAAGUAACACGCCCGCACCGGCGCCUUGCAGCGAGAAGGCACCAUCGAAGUACAUCAGCCACUCCUUGCUCGCUUCCUUGACGGGGAUGCUCGUGUCUGGAAUUUCUUCAUCUUGUGUUGGCGUCCAUUCUGCUAUGAACUCCGCUAAUGCCCUGGUUUGUAUAGUUGAAGUGCUCUCAAACUUGAGGCCAAAGCUUGACAGUUCCAGUGCCCACUCGACAAUCUUGCCCGUUGCUUCUGGAUUUUGCAGUAUCCUCUUCAGCGGAAAACGAGUGACAACUGUGAUCUCAUGUGCUUGGAAGUAAUGGCGCAGCUUUCUCGAGGCCAUGAGAAGGCCGAAAAGCAAUUUCUAAACACCAGAGUACCUUGAGCUAGCCCCCUGUAGAAGGGAACUAACAAAGUAAACUGGGCGCUGCACCAUUCUCUUCUGCAUCUUCUCACGCGCCUGCGCAGAUCCAUCUUUGUCGGGACCAGAGCUUGUCGGUGAAGUCCCUUGCUUAUCGCUGGAUGCACCUGCCGUGGUUGCUGGCUCAUCAUCUGCCUCCCUCUCCACCACUAACGCAGCACUAACCACUUGAUUGGUUGCCGCUAUAUAUAGCAGCAACUUCUCUUGUGGCUUAGGUGCGACAAGUGUUGGAGUGGAGGAUAGGUAUUUCUUCAAGUCCUGCAGUGCAACCUCCGCCUCUGGAGUCCAUUUCAUUGGACCUGCCUUUUUCAAUAUUUGGAAAAACGGCAGGGCGCGCUCAGCAGAUCUAGAGAUAAACCUGCUGAGAGCAGCCACGCAACCGACAAGUCUUCGUACAUCCUUGACGCGCUUUGGUGCUUCAAUCUGCUCAAUGGCCUUGAUCUUGUCGGGAUUGGCUUCAAUUCCCCGCCGAGACACGAAGAACCCGAGAAGCUUGCCGGAGGGGACUCCAAACACACACUUCUCGGGGUUAAGCUUGAGGUUGAUCUUGCGCAGAUUUGCAAAGGUUUCGUCUAAAUCUUGAAUCAGAGUCGCCUUGUCCUUGCUCUUGACCACUAUGUCAUCCAUGUAGGCUUCCACAUUUCUGUGUAUUUGUGGCUCAAAAGCGUCAUGGACUACCCUUGCAAAUGUUGAACCAGCAUUCUUUAAACCGAAAGGCAUCCGUACGAAACAGUAUGUGCCACAUGGGGUAAUGAAUGUGGUCUUCUCCUCAUCUUCUUCUGCCAUGAAGAUCUGAUGGUAUCGUGAGUAUGCAUCAAGAAACGAAAGCAAGUCACAUCCGGCCGUGGAGUCAACAAUCUGGUCGAUGCGCGGCAAGGGAAAUGGGUCUUUGGGACAAGCUUUAUUGACAUCAGUAAAGUCGAUACAAAGCCUCCAUUUCCCAUUUGCCUUGCGCACGACUACAGGGUUGGCCAACCACGUAGGAUGGAGCACUCCUCUGACAAGGCCCGCUGCUUCCAAUUUCCUGAUUUCUUCUGCGAUGAAUUCUUGGCGCUCCACUGCCUGCUUCCUGACUUUCUGCUUGAUGGGCCGCGCAUGAGGAUAGACGGCAAGAUGGUGCUCGAUUACUUUCCUGGGAACACCGGGGAUGUCAGACGGUUGCCAUGCAAACACGUCGAUGUUCGCCCGCAGGAAAGCAACAAGCGCGCUUUCCUAUUUAGGGUCGAGAGUGGCACUGAUGGUAAAGGUACCACCAGUGCCGUCCUCCUUGGCGGACACCUUCUUGGUCUCUGGUGGAGCUGCCAUUGUCUUCUUACACUUGCCGGUGGAGCUCAAUGGUGCAUCCUCGACGGUAGCGCAGCACUCUGAAGAGGUGCGCUUGCCGGAGUAGGCAUCAGAACUCUUGCCGGACUUGGUCUUUUUCUUCCCCCCGGGAGCCUCAGCGGCAAGUGACCUGCGAUCCGUUGCGGCUGCUGCUUCCCGGUAAAUCUUGUCGGCGUAGAUAAGAGCAUCCUUCUUGUCGCCAGGGACAGAGAUGACACUUAUCGGGCCUGGCGUCUUCAGUAUGUUGUAUGCAUAGUGAGAGGCCGCCAUGAAUUUGGCGAGUGCUGGACGGCCUAGUAUCCCAUUGUAAGGCAAUGGAAAGUCAGCAACGUCAAAAGUGACCCUCUCAGUCCUGAAGUUCAACUCGCUGCCAAAUGUCACCGGCAACGUGAUCUUUCCCUUUGGCUCGCUCCUUCCCGGAUUGAUUCCUUGGAAUGUGCCGGUCUCUUCGAGCUCGCUGUCAGGGAUUUGGAGUUUCUGGAGUACCACGGAGGAGAUCAGGUUCAAGCCGGCCCCGCCGUCAACUAGCAUCUUAGUGACCUUGAGGUUGCGGAUAGUUGGUGAAACCAACAUCGGCAAGCACCGGACCGCAGUUAUGCGAUCAGGGUGGUCCUCAAUAUCAAAGAUGAUAGGCGUGCUGGACCAUUUCAGAGGCUUGCGUGACUCGAUGGGUGGUUCUGCCGCAUUGACUUCCCGCAUUCACUGCUUGAGCUGGCGGUGUGAAGUAUGCAUAGAAGCACCGCCGUCAAUGCACAGGACCUCUGUGGCUUUCUAGAACUCCUGCUCAUCAGUCUCGUCAUCAUCCAUAUCUUCAUCGUCGUCGUCAUCUUCAUCCUUGUCGCGGCCACGGGGAGGUCUGUCUCCUUGCCGCUGCUUGGCCUUGCCGCUGGAUCCUCCUCGGCCGGGGCGUUUCUUGCCGGCUCCCCCAGCACCUUCCUGGGCCUUCUCCUUGUCGCGUCGCUCGUAUUCAGCUUUUUGCUGCUCGACAAGCUGCUCGACCUUCUUGCAACUCUGGAGAUCAUGGCCCUUGGUGCGGUGGAUCUUGCAGUACUGCUUGCUGGUGCCGUCCUGCUUGUCGGCGACCGCCACAGCCUGGUAGUUGGUGCCUGCGGCAAUCUCCUUGUCGGAGCUACUAGCUUUGGCUUUCUUGGUGCUACCUCCAUUGCCGAACUGCUCAACGACUAACACAUCUUUGCCUUUCUUUUUCCUGCUAUUCCGCCGCCGGUUUUUCUUUGCCGGGGCAGCAUCCUCACUAUCAGAUCCUCCUGCUUCUGUAUUUUCUCCGGGGAGUUUCCUCCCUUCCUCAGCACGUGCACACUUGUCGGCCAGGGCAUAUAGCUCACUGACGUCUCUGAUCUUGCACAUCGCCAUUUCCUCCCGCAUCCUGCGGUUUCGCACGUUCUGAUGGAACGCGCUGAUUACCGCGGCAGGGUGGACAUCUGGGAUGUAGUGCUGUACGCGGCUGAAUCUUUGAAUGUACUUGCGCAGGGGCUCUCCUUCCUUCUGGGCGAGCAGAUCAAGGUUGCUCUCUUGGCCAUGACGCUUGUGGCCGCCCGUAAAGGCGCCGACAAACUGAUGGCAUAGAUCUGCCCAAGAGGAUAUGGAGUUGUCCGUCAAGUGCAUGAGCCAGGAUCUGACAUUGGGCUUGAGCACCAGCGGGAAGUAGUUGGCGAGGAUCUUGUCAUCCCGUCCCCCGGCAGCUUGCACCGCGAUGGUGUAAAUGCUGAGGAACUCCGACGGAUGCGACUUGCCGUCGUACUUCUCUGGUACGUCUGGCUUGAAAUUCUUCGUGCUGGGCCACUGGACUUGCCGCAGCUCACGAGUGAACGCAGGGCAACCUACCGCGUACGGCAAGUCGCCUGGUUCCCCUGGCGCAUGCAUGUCGAUAGAGGGCCCAGCGCGCUGGUCGGAUUGACGCCGCACUUCUCUUUGGCGCUCGAUGCGAGUACGAGCGUCUUCUUGCUGUCGUUCGUGAAGAACUUGGCAUUGAUCGCGACGAGCUCGUGGAUCUGAUGAUGCGGUGGAGUCGCUGUCGAGGUGGAUCCGGUGAGUCGGUGAUCUUGGCCUUCGGGGUGGGGAGCGCAUGGUGGUUGCACCCCACCGGUUUCGUCGCCAUCGGCUCGUGCCUGGCGGUCCUGCCGCGGCAGCGAUGUACUCAGCUGCCGCGGAGUGUCACUGUUGGCAUAGCCGAUGAGACUCUGAAUGGUGGCCCUCCAUUCAUCGAUCUUGUCCACCGUUGGAGGGUAAUCCAGGAGCAGUUGAGCUCGCGCCAAAGCUUCUGCUGGAGUGGUGGGCGGUAGCGGCGAACGGUGCGAGGAGCGGGAUAUGCUCGGACUUCUAACUAUGUUAGAAGGAGCAGUAUCCCGUCCAGGCGACCGUGUCUCGCUCGUGCCAGUAUGUUGGCGUGCAUGCUGGUCUUGAGCACCCCGAGACCCGCCAUCUCGAUCUUGGUCCAACAAACGUAUGGUACUGCGAAUACCAUGACGCUAUCGGUCCUGCGCCUCCUGAGAUGGGCGCGGUGCAUGUACGGACGCCGAGGUCUGCGCAGCCUUGUCCUUGGACCUGGCAGCACCGUGAGCUCCCUCGUCGUUGUUCGUUCUUCCGCCGACGCCUACCCCACCACUCGUUUGCUCCGGUGGUGGUGGGAUCGACGUGGACGGAACAACUGUCGCUGAGGCCUUCUUCUUCGGUGGCAUGUCGAUGAAGAAGGUGGAGAUGUAGCUCGUGUGAACGCCAGAUUAGGUUCAUGCAACCUCGACGCCCCCUACCUGGCGUGCCAAAGAUGUCGGGGAAACUGAUCCACGAACACCUAUGGGGCCGGCGGACCGAGCCCCUUUCGGUUCGGCGGGGGGGCGGAGAUCGCAUGAAGAGCGGAUCGAGGCGAAGCACACGAGCAGUUUACCCAGCUUCAGAGCUCUCCCGAGAGAUAAUACUCCUACUGCUGCUUGUCUGAUUGUAUUGAGUUCUUGCUCGGGAGCGCUGAGUGCUACAGUACACACGAGCUGCUAACGAGACCGAGCGUGAGUGUUUUCUGCUUUCGAACCCUUUUCUACGUUGUGCAUGGGCCUCCUUUUAUAUGCUCAAGGGGUCACCGACAGGUGGCAACGUAGACAAGGGUAAUAAUGGAAAAGGAAUUGUGGUUGGUACAACUACCUGUACAGUGUAUCAUACCUAACCCUGACGGCAGGGGACAAAGGCAUUAAAUGCCCGUCUGCGUCGCCCAAAUAGUGCAAAAAGGACCGUCAGGGACGCCACCGCUCGCCACGAUGGCAGUCUUGUCAGCGUCGCUUGCCACCGCGCACCGCUGGCUGCACAGCCUCUCGCCACGCGCGCCUGGAAAGGCCCCAGGGCGACACGUUGGUAGAUGUGCUGGAGCGCGGGUAUAGAGUGGUAGCUUGCCGCGGCAAGCGCCUUGCCGCGGUCGUUGUCUUGUCGCGUCCGGAAGCUUGUCGCUCACCGGGCCUUGCCGGGACGCGUGGCGCGUCGCGGCAAGUUUCUUGAGAUGCUUUGGUUGGCCUUCCCGGCAAGCUCCUCUUGCCGGGGCCUUGUCUCCUUGGCUUGAAUACUUUGUUCUUGAAUGGCUCCAAAGGAACCACGGAGGACCUUGGCGGUUACCCGGCAAGCCUUGCCGCGGGGUGUUGCAACUUCCCGUGCACAAGUUCGGGAUACUAGGGUACCCCUACUCUAGUACACUGACACCCUUAAAAAGAAUCUCGUCCUCGAGAUUCCUAGGGUUACAGCACAAAUCAAAAGAUAACCACUCCGGGGAAAAAUCUCUGGGUUAAAUUUAACCCUUUGGUCAAACUCGAACGAGUUGGGGGCAUCGAUAAUUGGUACACCGAGGGAGAGAUAUGGGCAAAUAUGAUUAUGUCCACGGCUAGGGGCACUCGAGAUCAAACUCUCGAAAAAUUGCUAGAUGCACCCAGUGAACAAUGGACUGACCUGCUGACACGUGGGUCCAGGGCCCACUGGCAGCCUCCUUCUUCUACCUCCGGCUAACUGCUUCUCCUGUGCUGCUGCAUCGUGUGCGGCUUGGCGCAGCGCGCAUCUAGCUCCCAGGGCGAUGAGGACCCUAGUGCCGUAGUGCACGUCGUGCACGGAGCCGAUGCAACGAGCACUCACGUCGCGGGCCAGCACCUUGUCGGCACUAUUCGCGGAUUCGCCUCCUGGACGCCGGUGUCGGGCGAUGAGCGAGUUUCCUGGACUCCGCUCACCACACACCGGGGUUGGGCUAUAAAAACGGCAGCGCGGCUUGCUACCAACACACAAACACAAUGCCACUCUACUAUCUCUUUGGUUUGAGCGAGAUCGAGCCAAGCUCCUUCGGCGAGGAGGUGUUCUUGGUGGCGCUAUGGUUGUUCCUUGCGGCACUGCUGGGUACGCUAAUCGGCUCAUCGAUCCUCCUAGUGAUUCUCAUCAGGAACAUGCGAGCUCGAGACAAUGCACGGCUGGUGGCUCGAGGUGUGGAAGAAGACGGUGCAUGGGGUGGUCCUCCGCCACGCUUGAUCCUCCAUCGCUUUGCGCCAGCGGAGUAAUCGCGUGCUGCGGUGGAGCGGUGAUGGCGACUUGUGGCGCUACGCAAGGCAGUGAUGAUGGUGCUGAUGGGGUCCGGAUGCAGGUGAGGUGGCUAUGCCAGCUCAGGAGUCGAUUUAGGGCACGGGAAAAAUUCACGGAUUGCUCCAUGAAAUGUAGGUGUCGAGGUAGAAUCGGAGUUGAAAUCUGUAUCGGGGAGUUGUAAUGGAUCGAGUGAAAUAAAGCUGGCACUGUUUCUCCGGAAACACAAUUGGGUUCACGAAAAAGAAUCAAGGGCGAGAAAUGGCCAGAUGACAAUGGCCUCUUCAAUGUUCUGGGUUUGGAAAAUCUGGCACACGGGGUAUGCACAGAUAAAGAGGAAUAUGUGACUUUGCAUUUCCCCGAGUACUGCUCAAUUGUACUCGUGGGUUAACCGGGUAUGCGCACAGUAUGCAGAAACAUCUAAACAAAAAGACAGAUGCAAUAAACAUGCAACAGAAAACAAACUAGACAAAUCACACUAAGGUGUUUUAAUGCUAGUGGGUAUAUGUACUCCUGGUAUACAUAUACCUACACCAGCGUGCAUUUUAUUAGAGACUCGGAACGAGUCAAUGUUGUUUUUAGUGUAUGUGUCCUACUGAUUAGAAUCUUGUUAGCACACAUUGCCAACCCUAUAAAACAUUUCCGUUUGACAGAGAGACAAACAAAAACAAACACAAAAACAGAAGCACGAAAACAAAUAACACAUCAUACGAGUUACAACAGUACCAUCAUACAACAAACACAGACGCACUAUGCGCUAAUCGAAACUACUCGAUGUGGGAUACAUGGUUCUAUCCUCAUAUCGGGGAUGAACCGACAGACCGACCCUCUAGCAGAAACCACUGACUGCAUGACUGAGGUCAUGCAGAAGACUGGCCUUGCUGGGGCUCUCCUGGAGGACGAAGACUGAGCCAAUCUCCAUCUUCAUCGUCUGACACUUCUAUGGGUUGGGGCGGUGGGGCUGAAAUUGCUCCAGGAAAAUGCUGCUGAUGGAUCCGGAGAAGAGCCUUGUCGAGGGUGAUGAUGUUUGGCUUGGGCCACAGUACAGGCUGAGAGGAUAGCACUGGUUUGGAUGGCGUUGGGUAAACAACUUGAGAUGCGAACUUAUGAGCCUCACAGUAAGCUUCCUUGACGACUCGUACCACAUUAUUGUCCAUGGCUCUAAACUCGGCAAGCAGCAUUGAAAUCAACAUCCCCUGGGCAGUGAUGUAUUGCACCAAGCGAGCGAUUGUGUAACGCCCCAGAUUCGACGCGCCAGGUGUCCGCCAGUUAUUCGCCGUCAUUGCCAUGUCAUUUGCUUACGUGUUGCAUUUUGCCAUGUCAUCAUGUGCAUUGCAUUGCAUUGCAUACGUGUUCGUCUCAUGCAUCCGAGCAUUUUCCCCGUUGUCGGUUUUGCAAUCUGACACUCCUAUGUCCUCCGGUGUUCCCCUCUUGUGUCUUGUUGUAAGCGGGUGUUAAACAUUCUCGGAAUGGACCGUGAUUUGCCAAGCGGCCUUGGUACACCACCGGUAGACCGCCUGUCAAGUUUUGUGCCAUUUUUAGUCCGUUUGAUACUCCAACGGUUAACCGGGUAACCGUAAAAGUCUCUUUUGUUUGCAGCCCAAAACCCCUUCAAAGCGGCCCAAAAACCCAUCUAAGUCAUCUCCUUGCUCUCGGUCGUCCGAUCAUGAUCGUGUGGGCGAAAACCGCACCUCUUUUGGACUCUCCUAGCUCCCUCUACAUAUAAAUAUGUGCCCCUCCCCGAAAUUUCGUGUAGAGGAAACCCUAGAUCUCCUUCCACCGCGCCACCGGACUUGUCCGUCCGCCAUCAGACGCGUCCAUCGCGGCCGCCACCUCACUCUGGCCAAUCAGAGGUCGCCACAUCAGCCGCGCCGCUGCUCCCCUCCAAUCCCCUCGCGCCACCUGGCCUCUCCACCUUGCCUCCACAGCGCCCUGCCGCCACAGCCCCUGCAGGCCCACUCGCGGCCUGCGCGAGCCCGACCGGGCUCGUGCCGCCCUGUCUCGCCGGCGAGUAGCUCCCGAGGCCUCCCCGCCGUCGAGCAUCGCCAUCCCCGCUGCCCGACCUUGUCACUCCAGCCGCCGCCCAACGUUCGCCCCGCGCGCCCCUCCGCCUCGUUGUUCCACCGACGAGCACCGCACCCUGCCGCCGGCGCCUUCCUCCACUGCCCAGUGCCCGAAGGCCGCCGCCUCCACGCCCGCACCUCCCGUCGCUCUCCAGCGCCGCCCCGCGAGCUCCCUCGAGCUUCCGCCUCCGCGAAUGGAUGGAUCCGGCCGGGAUCCGCCAGAUCCGGCCAUCCGCGACCUCCGCCCCUCGCCGGAGCACCUCCCCCCUUCGCCGUUGACCGUCGGUCGCCGCCGCCCUGGUCCCGCUCGGGGUCGAUCCAGGAGGACGACGGCCGCGUCCCCGCGUCGGCCGGACCCCGUGGGCCCCGGUGCCCCGGCCAUCUUCUGGCCCACCUCCUCCAGCCAGCCUCUUCUCCACGUCUGGGCCGAAGCCCAUGGUGAGCCGCCGGCAAACCCUCGCCCCGUGCGUAAUUUAGUGAUCUUGCAUCUCCCUCUUUUUCCCCGUAAAUCUGCCAAGUCCCCAGAGAUCAUAACAUUUUGUGCCCAUGUUCAUCGCAUCAUAAUUUCAUGUGUGCUGCUCCGUUUUGCGUGCAUAAUAUAUGAAAAUGUUCACUGUGAGAUGCUCUUCAUUUCAUUCCAUUCUUCCAUUCUUGUUUGAGAUUAUCUUGAUGCCCUAAUCAUCGUUGCAAGAGUGCUAUAUGAUGUUAACCUGCUGAAAAUGUUAUAACUUGUUGUUGUCUUUUUCGUUUCAUUUUGUGUGUGCAUCCUAUGAGCUUGAUAUCUACAUGAGUUUUGAGAUACAACAUGCCAUCUUUACAGUGGUGCAAUUAAUGUAUUUUUGUGAGCCUUGUAGUGAGUGGAUCGAGCUCCUGAAGUAGGGUACUUGCUGUUGCUGUUUUGCUAGUCUGAAUCUGCUAUAUCAUGAUGCUAUGUAAACCUGCUGCUACAAGUCAUUCUAUGCAUAAUCUGGAGAUGUUCACUAAGGAUGUUUUGUUACAAAUGUCAUGCUCUAUCUAUUAAUGCCCCCGGUUGCAUUUAUAGCCUGCUGUAACUUGUUGUUAUCUUGAUCCAAACUUGCUAAAUUAUGUUGCCGUCAGCCUGUUAACAUUAAGUUCAAUGUUGCCAUGAUUGUUGUUAGUGAUCCAAGCAUGCUAUGAACUUGCUCUUGCCAUGUUUAGCUUCAUAAAUAUGCCAUCUUACUGUUGGUCACCUUGUAAUUCCAUGUAUUGCUCUGUGGUGAACCGUUGCUCCGUUUUGAGUGUGCUCUAUAUGAAACUUGCUUGAUUUUGCAUGAAGUUUCAUAUUAUCAUGUUGCAUCCUUAUUUUGAGAGUGUUUGCUUGAUGUUUGAAUGCCUUUUGCAUCAAUGCCAUGUUUAACUUGUUUUGCUCAUAUCUUCUAGGCCGUAGCUCCGAAUUAAAUGAACUUUAUAUGUAACUUGACUAGAAUAUCGUGUAGAUCAUCUUGGUGCUUUUAACUUGCUGUUUAGCAACUUGAACAUAAGGUUUAUUCAGUUCUGGACCAAUUUCUAAAUUCGCAUAUGAGGACCUACCGGAAUUGUUCUAUGUUGUUUCCGGCCUCAUUUAACUUUGCUUUGAUGUGUUGUUCUGGUAUGCAUCAUCUCUUGCCAUGAGUAGCUUCAUGUAGUCUUGUCUUGCAUCAUACUUGGUUGAGCAUCAUGUCAUGUAUAUGUGUGGUGUGUAUACUAUGUUGUGUGCUUCUUCUCGAUAGUUCCUGUUUCGUUGCGAUCGUGAGGAUUCGUUCGUCUACGCUUGGUUCGGCUUCAUCCGUUCGUCUUCUUCAUGGACUCGUUCUUCUUCCUAGCAGGAUUUCAGGCAAGAUGACUGUCACCUUAGAUCUCAUUACUAUCAUUGCUAUGCUAGUUGCUUCGUUCUAUCGCUUUGCUGCGCUACCUAUCACUUGUUCUUCAAGCCUCCCCAAAUUGCCAUGUUAGCCUCUAACCUUUUUCACCCUCCCUAGCAAACCGUUGUUUGGCUAUGUUACCGCUUUGCUCAGCCCCUCUUAUAGCAUUGUUAGUUGCAGGUGAAGUUGAAGAUUGCUCCAUGGUGGACAGGAUUAUGUUGGGAUAUCACAAUAUCUCUUAUAUUAUUAAUGCAUCUACAUACUUGGUAAAGGGUGGAAGGCUCGGCCUUAUGCCUGGUGUUUUGUUCCACUCUUGCCGCCCUAGUUUCCGUCAUAUCAGUAUUAUGUUCCUGGAUUUUGCGUCCCUAACGCGGUUGGGUGAUUUAUGGGACCCCCUUGACAGUUCGCCUUGAAUAAAACUCCUCCAGCAAGGCCCAACAUUGGUUUUACCAUUUGCCUACCACCUAUACCUAUCCCUUGGGAGUAUUUAACCCAAGGGUCAUCUUUAUUUUAGCCCCCCCCCAGGCCAGUGCUUCUCUAAGUGCUGGUCCGAACCGAGUAGACUGCAGGGCCCCCUCAGGGACACUCGAGGUCUGGUUUUACUCGUAGGAUGUCUCAUCCGGUGUUGCCUUGAGAACGAGAUAUGUGCAGCUCCUAUCGGGAUUGUCAGCGCAUCUGGCGGCUUUGCUGGUCUUGUUUUACCAUUGUCGAAAUGUCUUGUAACUGGGAUUCUAAGACUGAUCGUGUCGUGGAUUUGUCACGGCAGAUGUCCUUAGUGUCAGGACUUAGUCGCGAGGCCAACACAUCUAUGUGGUAGCUUGAGAGGGGUUGAGCGGAAUCGAGAGACGCAACACAAGACAGGGAUUUAGACAGCUUCAGGCCCCGGGAAACAUCAUUCGGUAAAAACCCUACAUGCUGUUUGAGGAUAGAUCUCAUUACCAUUAUGAGGGAGUCGCCGUAAACCGGCUCUCCUCUUUGUGUCUAGCCCUAAGAUUGUUUCUUCUUGCUUGUAGCCUGUCCCCCUUUGGGGAGCCCUGCCCCUCCUUAUAUAUGUUGAAGGGGCGGGUUACAUGUGGAGUCCUAUUAGGAUUAGGACUAGUCUCCCUUCUAAUACAAACCGGAUACAAGUCUGGGUCUUCCUUGUAAAGUAAAUAUUCCUCAUGCCUUUUCUCUUAAACCGGCCCACCAUAGCAUGAUCCGGCCAUCCAUAAACCGCCCGUUGGGCCACCGGGUCUUGUCGCUCCUCUGACCCGCCUGCCGGAUUACCAAUGAACCGUAAACCGCCAUGUCCAACUAGGUUGCCAGUGAAUCGCCAAACUCUAGCCGGGUCAUACAUCCAGCGGUUUAUACCGCGGGGUAUAUCCCCGACAUUAGCCCCCAGUUUAAUUUGGAUUCAUCCAUGUUAAACUGAUCUGCAACAAGAACAAAUUUGUCGGGUUGUGCUCCGGUUUAAAUAUACUUGUAAGCCGGCACUUGAUCAUCCUUAAAUCCUUGUCAUUUCUUCCUUCCAAGUUAAUAACCAUCUUCAUAAUCAAUUUGCUUGCAGAAGAUAUUUGUAAAUAAAGAAUCCAUUUGAAUCGGCCUUCAAUGCUUUGACUUGACAAAAAUAUUAGUCUCUGAAAUAUUCAACUGAUAUCCAGCCGGCUUGAAGAUGUAAAACUUGCCGGUUUAUGAUUACCACCAUUGUCUGGUUAUAAAAACUGAUAAUUCCGGGUCAUGAUUGUUGCCAACACCGGUUCAUGAUUGUUGCUAAUGCCGGUUCAUGAUUAUUGAUGACGCCGGGUUACAGUCACAGGGUCAUAAUGAUUGGUGACGCCGGGUUAAUCCAGUUUGCUCAAAACAGAGAAUUUGAAAAUAGUUCUUCAAUAAUAAUAUAAUACCUGUAGCCCCCAAGUCUUGAGCAGAACAAAGUGAUGGCUUAAGACUUGCUUCAAUAUAAAUACUGCCACUUAAGAAGAAAUCCAUGUUGUUCAUCCCAGUGACUAGUAAAAACUGAAUACUCCAUACUAUGUAGCCCCCAAGUGCCGGGUUAUCAUGCUUACAACAACCUGGGACUUGCAAUUGUCUUAUACUCAUAAAAACUUCAACCAGUGUAGCCCCCAAGAGCUGGGUCAUUAUGCAAUAAUGAGCAGGGACUUUAAUAUAUACUUCAAUGAAAAUAACAUCAUAUGAUGUAACCCUCAUCAUGGGACUUGAAUCCACGUCCACAAGGUUAAGAGCUUUGUGCUUUACCAACUGAGCAGUGGACUCUUCAAUAUAAUGAAUAAAAAGCUUUGUACCUUCAACUGUUGACAGGAGCAAUUGGUAGCCCCCAAGGGACGACUCAUUAUAAUGUGAUGAGUCGGGUCAUCAAUAAUAUGAGCAGAAAAUUACUUUGCAUUAGCCCCCAAGUGUCAUGGUGCAUGCUUGCAGCGACAUGAGACUUGCAUGUAAUCUCAAUUUGAAUAAUGUAGCCCCCAAGUGCCGGGUCGUGAGCCUGCAGCAACUCGGGACUAUUCCUUCCAUUGUAGAAUAAAUCAUAUCCUUUGAUAAAAUAAUAACUGUUGCGCUAAAGCGACUUUGAAAACUCAAUAAUACCGGUUACUAAUAACCAUAAAAAUCCAGCCAUGUUGGCUAUUCAAGAUAAUAUAAUUCGGUAUGAAAAAUUCAUCCAAUAUCAUAAUGAAAAUUCAGCCAAAUUUGGCUAUUUGAAUAAUAUAACCCAAUCAUUUAUAAGCGCAUGAUUCCAAUGGCGCAAUCCAAAUAUAUACUGGCGACGUAUAGUCCAAAGCCAGGCCGGUUUAAUAAACUCCGGAUAAUUUCCCAUCAUAUACUGGCGACUUAUCAUCUUAAAGCCAGACCGGUUUAAUAAACACCGGAUAAUUUAUCAUCAUGCUUUAUUCAACCUGUCUCUGCAUACAACAAGUUUAAAGUGUCCUGGCGGUUUACCGCCGGACAGGUCAUAAUGCCCAACAUAUAACCCAGGUUUAUAACCAAGGCUGCACUUAAGAAUAAUCAAAAAAAAUAUAUCAUACCUAUGAUAUUGAAUCACAUCAUUUGUUUACCAAUUUUUUGUAGUAAGAGUGAUAACCCCAAUCUUGAGUAAUGAUAACUCCUUUCAUACUGUGCCGGUUUAUGAUAAAACCGUACCGGGUUGUGAUAAACACCGGUUUAACCAUAUAUAAUACUGGCGACUCGUAGUCAAACCAGACCGGGCGGAUAGUCUCCGGAUUAUGAUUUGAUCAUGUAUUGACAACUUGUAAUUGAAAGUCAAGCCGGGUUAAUGAACACCGGUUUACUCCAUAAUAAGAUGGUAACAUAAAAUCAAGCCGGGCAGAUAGUCUCCGGAUUAGGAUUUGACCGUGUUACGCCAAUUUGUAAUUGACAGUUUGAAACGGAUUAACAAUGUCGGUUUAAAAAUGCAAAAAAAAAUCAAAUAACAGUUAUGAAAAAAUAUGGAAGCAAAGGCAAUGAUAAGACCAUUUGCAGAAAAAGGCUUUACUGAGCCGAUCAGAUGGUGUUACCAUGGUCGGACACGACCAAGCUCCCAAUAAGGUGUAGCUAUGGUUCAAGUCAGCCAGGUCCCCAAAUGAUUCGUGGCAUAUAUGCCAGAUCAAGAGGCAUGGCAAUGGUUCGGGUUCGACCAACCCCCAAGUGAUUUUGUGGCCUUAGGCCGACCAAGAGGCGUGACUGGUUCAGACUUGACCAUGUCCCCAAGUGAUCUGGUGGCUGUCGCCCAUCAAAAGGUGUCGCGUUGGUUCGGACACGACCAAGGCCCCCAGUGAUGUUAUGGCACUAGGCCGAUCAAGAGGCAUGGCUAUGGUUCGGAUACGACCAAGCCCCCAAGUGACCAAUAAUAUGAUAAGCCAAUAAGGCAUGAUACCCAUGUUUGGACCGCACAUCAUGGCAACAAGUCUUCUUUGGCACCCUUUAACUUUUUGCAAGAGAUAAAUCCUUCUUGAACCGGGAUUUUGAACCGGAUAUUGAGAGCUUCAAGGAUUUGUGGGAGACAUCUUUCCCUUGAACCGGAUUGUAAACCGGAAUCUUCAUUUGCAGCCGGAAAUUUUCUGAUGGCCUUUCAACUCGAACUUGCGAGAAGUUAAUUCCUUUUUGAACCAGACAUUUGGAGAGCUUCAAACGGUUUGAGAGAAAGAUGACUCUUGAACCGGAUUUUGAACUGAAAUCCUUUCUGAUGACCCGGAACUUCUUCAUUUUAAGCCGGAAUUUUUUUUGAAGGCCUUUAAACUGGCAACAUUUAUUGAGCCAUGUCAUUAUUAGCCCCUGAGUCUCGAGGCAACUUGAGGAGUUGGCUUGAGAUUCUCCAUAAUUGACCGUGAUAAAAAACUGGUUUGAAUUCUGCAUGGGAGAACUUGUAUGCCAGGCUAGUGAUUAUCCACCGCGGAGUUGAUGACCACCAUGAUGAAGCUGAAAUCAAUCAUGGGCGAGUCGGCUGCGGGAGCAGACAGAUGAGCCAUCCGUGGCAUUGUAAACCAGUUCGGAGGGGCGAGUCAAUCGUAGGUACGGUAAACCGUGCGAACGGGCGAGUCGACCUCAUCAUGUUUGAUGUAGCGGGGCGUCGAUUUGCACAUGUACCCGUCGAGCAUCUAGGCAUAGACGAGCGCUAGUGAAAAAUAAUGCUGACGCUUGCCCCCUUGCCACACCUUUGUAAUGAAUAAUGGUCCUGCAAAAAAAAAUUACCAUAGACCAGUGUAAUUGUUUUUUGAUGUAAACAAUAUGUUUUAAUUAAAACAGACUUAGAGGGAUAUCACCGGAUUCAUCUGGAUGACAGACGGAGUUGUAUAUUCCAUCCGUAGAUCACCUCCAGUGAUUUCAACAGCGAGUUAACCGCUCGCCCAAUGCCUCGGCGGAGGCGGCGCGAGGCAAGAUCAUGAAUGAUGAAGUAGAGGCAGCUCGCAGCGGACGCGCGACGACUUGGAACAACGCCGGUCGUGGACAAUGUUGUGGUGGCUUGUCCAGCGCUCCAUACUUGCAUUGUUUUGUGGCAUCACUACUUUCAACUUCUCGAGCGUAAUCCAGUCAGUAGCCCACUGGUCAUCUCAAAGCACAAACAACUGAGGUUGUACAGUAGCACCAGGAAGAAGGCGUGGAGGUAAUGGUAUCAUCAGGAUAAACAGCCUUAGAUUUAUGAACAUGUUCCAUUGACGGCCGGUGACCACCAGCCAGCUCUGAAUAGCAGCCAGUCUGCCGACUGCUGAUCACCCAACAGUAGAUAUUUAUAUAGGCUGAAUAUAUGUCCAUUAAGGGAUAGCUGGGUAAGUACUCUUGGUAACUUCUCUGCCGCUGCAGGUAAAAACAAUUUCUUCAUCAUCAUUUUUUUUGGAACACACCUGUAAUCCAGACUGUACUACUCCAAGUUUAGUUGCUACUGCAUCAAAUUCGUUACCAAUCUCAUGUUCCAACUCAACAUCAUUCGGUGUAUUGCAAGAUCUAUGAGUAGAGAUGGCAGCUUCAAAAAUAGGAGGCCCCUUUGCGGCAGUAAACGUUCCUGAAGAUGGACAAAGACACGUGCAUUGCAAGGCAGGACCAGCUUGAGGAGACUUGACGGUUCAGGAAACGCAACGGCGGAAAAGGGAAAAUCCGGCUCGACGCGUGACUGUAAUGGCAACUCAUAGGUCCCUCGAAAACCACGGCAGCUGGGUGGAAACAGUGCUGGUGCGACGUGGGACGGCGCCAGAGUCGGCCGGAGCAGUAGUCUGGGCACGUGGGCGUCUCCACGGCGGCUCGAAAGUACAAAUCCGAGGCAAAAACAUGGCAGCGGUGACUUGAGGCCAUCCGUCCACGAGGCGGAGGCGAGGGCGACUUGGCAGGUAAAACCCGAGCACGUGUUCCAAUCCGGUUCCGGUUUGGGUCACAGCGGCGACUUGGCGCGUCGACGGAGCUACAACCGCUUCAGCACGGCCGGCGGGUUGAGAGGGGCACGGCGACAGCGAGGCAGCUCCAUGGGAGAAGGUAAGGCCGUUCGGUGAGGCAGCAGAGGCAGCUGUGACCGGUUACACAUGAUCUGAAUUUGGCCUAGACCCGUGACUCCCUGAAGGAAUUGAAUAAUAUGGCAACUUGUUUCUUGGAGCUUGUAACACGUGAAGAACUUGAUGAACCUUGGUCACUUUCAUAUGUGCUGAUUGUUCUAACAUAAACCAUCAUUGACUUGCUUUUGUCUUCCCUUUCUACGGAAGGGUAUUGGGAUCUGUGAUUGUAUUUGAAUCGGACUCGGUAAUCCUUACUGAGCGGUGACCAGCGUCGGUUCAAUCAACCUGGGUAGAGUCCUAUUUCCUUUUUGUACACCGCGCAUCAAUCGAUAAACUUGCCUUUUAGAAACGUCACGCUCAAGGCUUCGAGUUUUUUUUUACUUUUCUAAACGACAAAACAACAGCAACAGCACAGCCGGCGCCUUCCCGUAAUGGCGCCUUGUUAUCUUCAACGCGAUCGAAUCGGCCGUAGCCCAAUCUCAACUGAACAGAUCGCUUUUGAGACCUCCACAAGACGAGACGCCUUGUGCUGAAACUAGUAUCUGAAUUAUCAUCCCAGCCGUCUCAUCUUCCUCCGACCAAACACGACCUUCUCGAUCCCUGGGAAAGAUCCCUCCAAGAACUCAUCACCAUCAUGCGCAGGCCCCACGGUGGGCGCCAACUAUCAUGGAUUUGUCACGGCAGAUGUCCUUAGUGUCAGGACUUAGUUGCGAGGCCAACGCAUCUAUGUGGUAGCUUGAGAGGGGUUGAGCGGAAUCGAGAGACGCAACACACGACAGGGAUUUAGACAGCUUCGGGCCCCGGGAAACAUCAUACGGUAAAAACCCUACAUGCUGUUUGAGGCUAGAUCUCGUUACCAUUAUGAGGGAGUCGCCGUAAACCGGCUCUCCUCUUUGUAUCUAGCCCUAAGAUUGUUUCUUCUUGCUUGUAGCCUGUCCCCCUUUGGGGAGCCCUGCCCCUCCUUAUAUAUGUUGAAGGGGCGGGUUACAUGUGGAGUCCUAUUAGGAUUAGGACUAGUCUCCCUUCUAAUACAAACCGGAUACAAGUCCGGGUCUUCCUUGUAAAGUAAAUAUUCCUCACGCCUUUUCUCUUAAAUCGGCCCACCAUAGCAUGAUCCGGCCAUCCAUAAACCGCCCAUUGGGCCACCAGGUCUUGUCGCUCCUCUGACCCGCCUGCCGGAUUACCAAUGAACCGUAAACCGCCAUGUCCAAGUGGGUUGCCAGUGAAUCGCCAAACUCUAGCCGGGUCAUACAUCCAGCAGUUUAUACCGCGGGGUAUAUCCCCGACAGAUCGGGUCUUCCCGGGAGAAGGAAUAUCCUUUGUUGAUCGCGAGAGCUUAUCAUGGGCUAAGUUGGGACACCCCUAUAGGGUAUAAACUUUCGAGAGCCGUGCCCGCGGUUAUGUGGCAGAUGGGAAUUUGUUAAUAUUCGGUUGUAGAUAACUUGACACUUGACUUAAUUAAAACGCAUCAACCGCGUGUGUACCCGUGAUGGUCUCUUUUUGGCAGAGUCUGGGAAGUGAACACGAUUUUGGGUUAUGUUUGACGUAAGUAGGAGUUCAGGAUCACCUCUUGAUCAUGGCUAGCUUCAUGACCAUUCCGUUUGCUCUCUUCUCGCUCUUAUUUGCGUAUGUUAGCCACCAUAUAUGCUUAGUCGCUGCUGCAACCUCACCACUUUACCCCUUCCUUUCCCAUUAAGCUUUGCUAGUAUUGAUACCCAUGGUAAUGGGAUUGCUGAGUCCUCGUGGCUCACAGAUUACUACAACAAUAGUUGCAGGUACAGGUUCUGCGAUGAUCAUGACGCGAGAGCAAUGUUUGCUUGUUUUGGAGUUCUUCUUCUGCUUCUUCUUUGAUCAGGGGAUAGGUUCCAGGUCGGCAGCCUGGGCUAGCAGGGUGGAUGUCGUUUGAGUUUCUGUUUGUGUUUCAUCCGUAGUCGGAUGAUGCUCUUAUGUAAGUUGAUGUUGUAUUCGUGUGGCAUUGUAUGCCUUUUGUAUGUAUCCCCAUCUAUUAUGUAAUGUUGAUGUAAUGAUAUCCACCUUGCAAAAUCAUCUUCAAGAUGCGCUUCUAUCCUUGGUGGGACCUUCGAGUUCCUUUAGGAUAGGGUCGCAUCUUGGGCGUGACAGAUUGCAGAAUCAUCUCCUUGGCUAAUGGAAGAAGGCUGCAUUACUGCGUUUGACACGGUGGGGAAAGAGCAGAACUCCCGCCUUGUUGCUACAUGCGGGAAGUUGGUCCGGAGGUGUAGGAUAGCCUCCACAACAGUGGCUUGAAUGGCUAAACCAGAGGUAGGCAUGGCUCUACCCUAUAAAACCAAAGGCUGGACAUCUGCUGCAGGACCUAGGCUGAUGUGCACUCUUGCAACAAAGCGAUGAAGGUGAGGGACGGGUGUCGAUUGGAACACCAGGUAAUCGGGGCUAGUCUUACCGCCAAAGGCUUUGGUGAGCAUCUCAGCAAGAAGGGGUGGAAAACUAGGGUGGUUGACGGUGUAGGUGCGGGUGUAAUACGUGGAAGUUUUGGAGCUGCUAGCCAUGACUGGGGAGCUACUGGCUAAGCUUCUCUGCAGGGACAUGGCGGACUGAGGAGCGAGCGAUACGGCUAGCGGAAAGGGCAUUUAUAGGCAGCUACACAGGACAGGCCCGCAUGGGGUGGCCCCUUUCCCUUAAUGGCGAAGGGAAAGCGGUGCGGUCGACCAGAAAGGAUAGGAUUGCUGCACGUUCCACGGAUAACUAGGCGGGGACAGCGGGGUGAGGACGUGUAGGUCCCGACUGCACCACCUGUUGAUUAACAGUGGCCAUGCCGAACGCCAGGGAUGGGUCAAAUCCCUUAAGGUCAUUAUGAGUUGAUGGUGGCGGUGAUCUAAUGCUAGGAUAAUCUAUGCCAGCCUAGCUGCUCUGGUACCAAGCCCUGUGGCAACCCGAUCCACAUGGAGCAGGGGGCCUUCGCACGUCAGCCGAGGAUAACACGUGACGCACGACUGGUCCAUGAUACAGCAUUCCAGGUACAAGAAUAUUCAUCAAAUACAUGUGUAUAUGAGUACAUCAAUGAUGAAUAUAAUCGUCUGGCAUAGCCCUAAGGCUAUUUACAUUACAGCGGAAGUCUAUUUAGAUGGCGGAGGAAAUCUUGGCAGCAUAUCACUCUGGCUGGCCUCCACAACUCACAGGACUGGCAAGAUUGCGGCCUAGCACGACGGAACAACGAACAAUUCGGGCACGACCUACAAAAAUGGCAUGACACGCCAGGUCAGUACAUUGAAUGUACUUGCAAGACAACCAAAUACAUAACAUCCAAGUAAACAGAAGACAAAGCAGGAACCAAGCGUAUGCAACAACUUAUCUCAUAUCAGAAACUAAGCAUGGCAUGAUAUCAACCAAAGACAUAAAUCAAACUAACAUCAUGUCAUCUACUAGCAUGGCAAUAACAUGGCAUGGCAUCAUGAAACUAUGCUGAAAAAUAAACUAGCGGUCAUAUCCAAUGCAGACAUAACAUGUUAACUUUAUGCAAUCAUCUCAUGUCCUCCCAUGGUUCUUUAAAUGCAAACAUAUUACUCAUGCAAUGCAACCAAACUUGAUCACUCCUGGAUCACAAACGAGCUAACCCAGAGACAUCUCUUGAUCCUUCCGGCGAUCACAACCACGACCAAUAUUUGGCCUCAGACUGUGAUCCUUAUGGUGAUCACAACCACGACCAAUAUUUGGCCUGUGAUCCUUACGGUGAUCACAACCACGACCAAUAUUUGACCACAAAUCGUGAUCCUUACGGUGAUCACAACCACAACCAGUAUUUGGCCCGUGAUCCUUACGGCGAUCACAACCACGACCAGUAUUUGGCCUGUGAUCCUUACGGCGAUCACAACCGUGACCAGUAUUUGGCCCGUGAUCCUUACGGCGAUCACAACUACAUUAAUCAGCUUAAUUAUUUCAGGUUUAUCCUCCAUUUCGACCAAGACCCCAUAGUAUGACCUACUACGAACUUGCGCCCAUGAUCGAGGACGCGACUAUUGAUAGAUUUUAUAAACACUCUGCAGAGGUAGCGUACUGUACCCACACCACGGAACCCAUGGCCUCGCACUCCCAAUCAGGUGGACCAACGACAUUCCGACAAAACCGACCUACUGUCAUGACACUCUCCUGGCCACUCCGACUCACUCCCCACUGGGCUAGUCCUGGGUGGCCCCGUGUCUACCAAAGACACAACGACCACCAUCGUGGCCACGAUCCCACACGGGGACCCGGUACCAAAAACUCAACAACGGGCACACAAGGCUUAUGUCCGCCUACCUGAUCAGGGUAGCGCGCGCCCAUAUCCUUCCGUGGUUGGAGGCACCGACCAGAGGAACGACAAUAGAUCACAUUAAGGCCGUCCCAUACCAGCAAAUGUGGCGGCACUGAGAAAGUUCGAUUUGGCGGUACUAUGACUCAAUCCCAUCAAUGACGGAGGAGUUUUGUUAUUAAGUCAUAUUAUUAACUUCUCCAUCAUCAAUCAUCAUGCAAGCAUUUUAACAUGAAUGCAACAAUGAGCAUACAUCAUACAAAUGCUUUAAUAACAUAUCGAACUUCUCAAGUGAACAACUACAGCAUAAAGAACAUGAGAAUACCAAGUACUAACAUAUCCACGGUGCAUUACAAUCAUCAUAACAUUUUAUAACGAUGUCAUGAAAAUAAAGUGGAUUAGUGACAUGGCAUUAUCCAUAACAACAUUCUAACUAGCAUGGCAAAAGAUAUCAUGAAAACACAAGCAUGCAUGGUAAGGAUAACGGAAUAACUGCAGAUGAAAACGAUAAGCAACAACUGCAACUACACACACACAAGGUGCAAGCAAAGUCAACAUGCAAGUUCAGGGCUCAUGAUAAGAGGUUGGCUUGCCUGGGGGUUAACAAAUACUCCGGGAAGAAGUGAGAAACGACCGUGGAAAAAUUUGCCGGAAACAGUUCUCUCUCGGAGGGGGCUGUUUACAGACAAGGGCAAAAUGGUCAUUUUCAGAAUGUGCUAACAUGGUGAAAAUGAUCUCAUCAAAACGGGCUCGACUAAACGAAAACGUGGGCUUUGGAAUCACCUGAUUCAGAGUUACGGUUGUCCAGAUACGAAGGGUUGAAGUUCAGGGACCUAUUGGUGAAAAUUUCUCAGCCAACAGGCCCCUGGAGGUAAAACUGAACGCCUAUUUCUGAGAAUACGCCUUCGGUCAGGGUUAACGGCUCGCGGUGGGGUGCAUCCACUUAGAUGACAUGGCGUUGGACCAGUCAAAGUGGCAGAGGCGGGGCUGGGCUCCUUGGCCGCUGCCAGGUGGGGCCGCGGGGCCAACCUGGCCAGGUCAACGCCUCUCCUGGCCACUCCAUUCUUCUCCCCGACGCGCGCCCACAGAGCAGAGGAAGGCCGCGCUCCGGCAACGAGCACCGGCAACAUGGGCCACCUCCGGCGAGGCUCCAGCCACCGGCGUGCUCCUCGGGGAGUGGUGCAUCCAUUCCCCCACUCCACGGACUCCAACCACGAGGGGAGCAACGGCGACCUCGAGAAUGGCGGACGGCGGAGAAGGGCUUCGGUCGAUAGCGAGGCAGCGGUUCUGGCGGGGGAGGCGAGGGGC